rnacentral:rRNA from 1 species
UACGUAGGGUGCAAGCGUUAAUCGGAAUUACUGGGCGUAAAGCGUGCGCAGGCGGUUCUUUAAGACCGAUGUGAAAUCCCCGGGCUCAACCUGGGAACUGCAUUUGUGACUGUAGAGCUGGAGUGCGGCAGAGGGGGAUGGAAUUCCGCGUGUAGCAGUGAAAUGCGUAGAUAUGCGGAGGAACACCGAUGGCGAAGGCAAUCCCCUGGGCCUGCACUGACGCUCAUGCACGAAAGCGUGGGGAGCAAACAGG